CCUACGGGAGGCAGCAGGGGGGAAUAUUGGACAAUGGGCGCAAGCUUGAUCCAGCCAUGCCGCGUGUGUGAAGAAGGCCUUUUGGUUGUAAAGCACUUUAAGCGAGGAGGAGGCUACUUGGAUUAAUACUCUAGGAUAGUGGACGUUACUCGCAGAAUAAGCACCGGCUAACUCUGUGCCAGCAGCCGCGGUAAU
rnacentral:rRNA from 1 species